rnacentral:lncRNA from 1 species
AUGAUGUCAGUUCUGCUGUUGUGUCCACGGGCUGCUAAAACAAUUGCGUCACGUAUAUAUUUUAGAUUAAUUAUCUGUUAUUCGUUUAAAGAAAAGUGACCCCUGCUGCCUUCAAAGCCCUCCAAGCAGUCGAAGAAACUCUUUUAAAGUGGCACGGUCGACUAUGGCAGCCUCUUUUGUUUCUUCAUCGAUGAGGAGGUACAUGUAGUUGUCGGUGAGAGCGGGCAGCAGUUCCACCUUCAUGUCGGACUGUUCCACCAGAGAGGAUUUCCGAAUCGCGGAGUGAAACAAGGCUGUGGGGGCUUCAAAACAAAGACACAGGUUCAGUGCAUGUUCAUGACCAACAAUUUCACUUUUUUUGUGGAAAACGUCCAUGUAGUUUACAAUAACUAUGGUUUAAACCAGAGAUAGAGCCCGCAGGCCAAAGUUGGUCCAUGGUAACCUUUCAUUUGGCCCACCAUCCCAUCUAAGAAGAGAGAGAGAGAGUGAUGGGGAUGGUUUAGAGACUGUCAUUUCUAAUUUAAUGUAACUACUUGUUUGUUUGUUUGUUUCUUUGUUUGUUUGUUUGUUUUUAUAACUAAGCAACAAAAGUGAAUGCAAAUAAAAUGUUUCAAUUAAACAAAUCAGAAUUGUUUUUUUAAAUGUACAUACUGUCACCCAACAGAUAGAGAACAAUCCAGAGAGAUAUCAGUAAACAAAUGAAGGCAAAGGCAGAUAAUGCUUGACUAGUGUAUUGAGCACUGAACUCCAUUGUGCUAUAAAUGUGAUUGUUUUAUUGCAAUAGGUUAUAAUAAAAUGUAUAUACUGCAUAAGCU